UACGACGGAUGCAAGCGUUAUCCGGAAUUAUUGGGCGUAAAGCGUUUGUAGGCGGGCGAGUGUGUUUAAUGUUAAAUCUUAAAGCUCAACUUUGAAAUUGCGUUAAAAACUGCUUGUCUUGAGUAUGGUAGGGGUAAAGGGAAUUCCCAGUGUAGCGGUGAAAUGCGUAGAUAUUGGGAAGAACACUAAACAGCGAAGGCACUUUACUAGGCUAAUACUGACGCUGAGAAACGAAAGGUAAGGUAGCGAAACGGAUUAGAUACCCGUGUAGUCUUACCCGUAAACUAUGGACACUAAACGGUAAAUUUUUAAUUUACUGUUAAAGCUAACGCGUUAAGUGUCCCGCCUGGGGAGUAUGCUUGCAAAAGUGAAACUCAAAGGAAUUGACGGGGGCCCGCACAAGCGGUGGAGCAUGUGGUUUAAUUCGACGGUACACGAAGAACCUUACCAGGAUUUGACAUGCUAGAUAGUUGCUUGAAAGAGUAACGUGCCGUAAGGAAUCUAGACACAGGUGGUGCAUGGCUGUCGUCAGUUCGUGUUGUGAAAUGUUGGGUUAAGUCCCGCAACGAACGCAACCCUUGUCUUUAGUUAUUUUCUAAAGAGACUGCCUGUAAUAAACAGGAGGAAGGUAAGGAUGAGGUCAAGUCAUCAUGCCCCUUAUGUCCUGGGCUACACACGUGCUACAAUGGGAAAGACAAUGAGCUGCAAAUCUGUAAAUUUAAGCAAAUCUCUUAAACUUUCUCGUAGUUCGGAUUGUGGGCUGCAACUCGCCCACAUGAAGUUGGAAUCGCUAGUAAUCGCCAGUCAGCUAUAUGGCGGUGAAUCCGUUCCCGGGCCU
rnacentral:rRNA from 1 species